rnacentral:ncRNA from 1 species
UAUAUUUGCGCCGCUAAUAUUUGCAUACAUAAUAAUCAUUAAAUUAAUAUUGGAAUG